UGGAGUUGGUCCUGACUCGGGGGCCUGUCAGUCAUCGGCCAAGGGCCAGGCUUUGGGGUGUCGACUCCCACACAGCUCAGCUCCCUGAAGAUGUGGGCACGGUGGUGGUGGGGGCUGCUGAAGAGUUGCAGAUGCAGCCACUGGAGGGGAGGCUGAGGUCAGUAGCCAGGCUCACAGGGACGACAAUGGGAUGGGAAGCAACACCUGACGGGCUCAGCUACAGGUGCUGACGGAUUCACAGGCAGGUGGCAGAAGGCAGUCAAAUAAAUGAGACAAUACAGCGCCCUCCCUGCGACCACACACACCGCUCACGCCUGUGAGGACAUGGAAGCACAGGGAGGUUAUGCCACUCGCCCAAAGACAACUAAUCAGUGACAGCUGAGACUUGGACUGCAGAACCUACACUUUAUAACUAUUUUACAGUUCUGGGCGUCACGGAAUCUUGCAUGAAGAGCCCCUAACCUGGCCCGGGUGGAGGUCAGGGAGGUCUUCCUGGAAGAGGGGGUUCUUGGCAGCAACUUGCUGGAUUUGGUGUUCCCUGUUGGUUGGCUCUGCUUCCUCAGUGUCAGCAUCAUUCACAGCAGGCAUGUCCCUCCUGCCUCCAAGAGAGUCACCAGCAGCUUCCUCCUCCACAUCUGUGAGUAAAUGAGAGGGUCUAUUCCACCCAAUAACUCAAAUCCCAGUUUCAGGAUUUGACCUGUGGUUGGUCAGACUAGGGACACAAGCCCAUUCCUGAGCCAAUCACUGUGGCUGAAGAGGUGGGAGACACUGAUUGGUCUAAGCCAGUCAAGCACUCUCAAGGCCAAAGUGCAUGGGCAAGAAAUUUAGGACAAGGGGAGGAAGAAAGAAAAGAAAAGAGAAUAUCAAGGAGGCAAAUGACAAAUAAAUACCCACUCCUUUCUUCCCACGAGAGAGAUAUUAUUCCCCCCAUUUCAUGGAGGAGGAAACUGACGAUCAGAGCAGCCAGGAAACAGGAUGGCGUUGUCUGCUGAGGGACGGUGUGUUCCCUGGAGAGGAGAUCCAGCUUGCCAUUGUGGGUUUCUUACAGCAAAAAUCCUGUGUGUACACAUAUGCUGAACAAGGCGCACACAGUCUUCAUACUUCUUUCCCCAAAUCCACUGUUGUACCUCACUCUGGAAACCAAAGAAUACAAAUGGAGAUGAGGCUAAUUUUUGCCCCUCAAAUUGGCAAAGGUGAAUAAAACCAUGUUUCUUGG